GGAUUUUAUAAAGCAAGUUGAAAAUUUUUACAAAGAUCCAGUGCCCAAAUAUAGCAGGGAUGCAUGCAUCAGUUAGCCUAUUGUUCACAUGAAAUGCUGAUAUUAAAAUUGAUUAUACGGGUUUGGUCAGAAAAUUUUAAAAACAUGGUUUCUUGCAAGGUUUUAAAUGAUAAAUUAAAAAUUAAAAAUAAUUCAGUAGAAAAUUGUAGGAUUAAAAAUAGCUUUUAUUUAUUUGUGAGGAAAUUUUUAUUUCACCAAUAAAUGAUAUGGAAGCUAUUAUUUAGGAAUUUGGCUAUUUAGUAUACUUUGGAGAUAUGGCGG
rnacentral:misc_RNA from 1 species